rnacentral:rRNA from 1 species
CCUACGGGAGGCAGCAGUGGGGAAUAUUGGGCAAUGGGCGCAAGCCUGACCCAGCAACGCCGCGUGAGCGAUGAAGGUCUUCGGAUUGUAAAGCUCUGUCGCAGGGGACGAAGUAUGACGGUACCCUGUAAGAAAGCCCCGGCAAACUACGUGCCAGCAGCCGCGGUAAUACGUAGGGGGCUAGCGUUGUCCGGAAUUACUGGGCGUAAAGGGAGUGUAGCCGGGUUGACAAGUCAGAUGUGAAAUCCUGCGGCUUAACCGCAGAACUGCAUUUGAAACUGUUGAUCUUGAGUACUGGAGAGGCAGACGGAAUUCCUAGUGUAGCGGUGAAAUGCGUAGAUAUUAGGAGGAACACCAGUGGCGAAGGCGGUCUGCUGGACAGCAACUGACGGUGAGGCGCGAAAGCGUGGGGAGCAAACAGGAUUAGAUACCCGUGUAGUC